UAAUCCCCCGUAAUUUUAUACAUUUUAUUAAUAUAUUUUAACGUAUAAGUAAUUAUAUUAAAAUAGAAUUUACGAAUUUUGAAAUAAAUAUUUAAGUAACGAAUAUUUAUUUUUAUACGUUUUAAAUAUUUCAACGAUUUAUGAAAUUAAAAUUAUUUUAGAACUUUUUGUUGAAAAGAAAUCGAAUUACAAAAACCGUUUGAAUUUGGAAAACAAUCCUAAUGGGUUUUGGAUUCAAACACUUAAACUCAAUCCUAGUUCUAGCCCAAAAUGAUAAAGCCCAAAUAACAAAAACUCAAAUUCUUUACUCCCUCCUCUUUCUAUUUCACGUGAAAACCCAAAACCCAAAACCCCUUCCCUUCUCCUUCACUUUCACGUGAACCAGGACCCUCAACCCUCAACCUCAUUGUUGCUUCCGCCACGCCGCCAAACCAGUCGUCGGAGACCACCGUUGUCCCUCACCGCAGCUUCAAACGCCGCCACCGUGCACUGUUGCUGCACCGCCCAACUCGCCAACCAACGUUUUCCAUCAUCCUCUUUCUUGUUUCUUCAUUUUCACGACAGCAGCCAAGCACGACUAAGUGCGACCACCGUAGUCACCACCACCAGGCUCCAGCCGCGUCGCCCGUUCCCCGCGACCACCGCCCUGUGCCGCGCCGCCUGUGCUCCGCCGGCCAGCCUCCUCUCUCCUCUUUAAUUCUUGGUGGAGAAUUCUCCGUAGGCGACUUUUGAAUUAUUAAAGUGGUCUUGCAGUUUGUUUACACAAGUCUCUAAGGAUCAAUAAGCAUUGUCCAUCUGCAGGUUUGAAGAUGUUGCAUCAUUGGGAUCGGGAAUAGAGAGCUUGUAUUUAGUUUUGAUUUGCUAAGUUGACUUGGGUUUGUUUAAUUGGACUUUAAACUGGUCGUACUAUUUAUAUUUCCUUAUUUUUUUGUUUAUUGGUUUUUGGGAUUAAACCUGUAAUCGAUUAUUUAUAAACCUAAAAUUAGUUUUA